rnacentral:rRNA from 1 species
GACGAACGCUGGCGGCGUGCCUAAUACAUGCAAGUAGAACGCUGAAGGAGGAGCUUGCUUCUCUGGAUGAGUUGCGAACGGGUGAGUAACGCGUAGGUAACCUGCCUGGGAGCGGGGGAUAACUAUUGGAAACGAUAGCUAAUACCGCAUAAGAGUAGAUGUUGCAUGACAUUGGCUUAAAAGGUGCAAUGGCAUCACUACCAGAUGGACCUGCGUUGUGUUAGCUAGUUGGUGGGGUAACGGCUCACCAAGGCGACGAUACAUAGCCAACCUGAGAGGGGGAUCGGCCACACUGGGACUGAGACACGGCCCAUACUCCUACGGGAGGCAGCAGUAGUGAAUCUUCGGCAAUGGACGGAAGUCUGACCGAGCAACGCCGCGUGCGUGAAGAAGGUUUUCGGAUCGUAAAGCUCUGUUGUAAGAGAAGAACGCGUGUGAGAGUGGAAAGUUCACACUGUGACGGUAUCUUACCAGAAAGGGACGGCUAACUACGUG